UACGUAGGGCGCAAGCGUUGUCCGGAUUUAUUGGGCGUAAAGAGCGUGUAGGCGGCCUGAAAGGUCAGCUGUGAAAACUCGAGGCUCAACCUCGAGACGUCGGUUGAAACCAUCUGGCUAGAGUCCGGAAGAGGAGUGUGGAAUUCCCGGUGUAGCGGUGAAAUGCGCAGAUAUCGGGAAGAACACCCGUGGCGAAGGCGGCACUCUGGGACGGUACUGACGCUGAGACGCGAAAGCGUGGGGAGCGAACAGG
rnacentral:rRNA from 1 species